GGUUAAGCGACUAAGCGUACACGGUGGAUGCCCUGGCAGUCAGAGGCGAUGAAGGACGUGCUAAUCUGCGAUAAGCGCCGGUAAGGUGAUAUGAACCGUUAUAACCGGCGAUUUCCGAAUGGGGAAACCCAGUGUGAUUCGUCACACUAUCAUUAACUGAAUCCAUAGGUUAAUGAGGCGAACCGGGGGAACUGAAACAUCUAAGUACCCCGAGGAAAAGAAAUCAACCGAGAUUCCCCCAGUAGCGGCGAGCGAACGGGGAG
rnacentral:rRNA from 1 species